AUUGAACGCUGGCGGCAGGCCUAACACAUGCAAGUCGAGCGGCAGCGGAAAGUAGCUUGCUACUUUGCCGGCGAGCGGCGGACGGGUGAGUAAUGUCUGGGAAACUGCCUGAUGGAGGGGGAUAACUACUGGAAACGGUAGCUAAUACCGCAUGACCUCGAAAGAGCAAAGUGGGGGAUCUUCGGACCUCACGCCAUCGGAUGUGCCCAGAUGGGAUUAGCUAGUAGGUGAGGUAAUGGCUCACCUAGGCGACGAUCCCUAGCUGGUCUGAGAGGAUGACCAGCCACACUGGAACUGAGACACGGUCCAGACUCCUACGGGAGGCAGCAGUGGGGAAUAUUGCACAAUGGGCGCAAGCCUGAUGCAGCCAUGCCGCGUGUGUGAAGAAGGCCUUAGGGUUGUAAAGCACUUUCAGCGAGGAGGAAGGCAUCAUACUUAAUACGUGUGGUGAUUGACGUUACUCGCAGAAGAAGCACCGGCUAACUCCGUGCCAGCAGCCGCGGUAAUACGGAGGGUGCAAGCGUUAAUCGGAAUUACUGGGCGUAAAGCGCACGCAGGCGGUUUGUUAAGUCAGAUGUGAAAUCCCCGCGCUUAACGUGGGAACUGCAUUUGAAACUGGCAAGCUAGAGUCUUGUAGAGGGGGGUAGAAUUCCAGGUGUAGCGGUGAAAUGCGUAGAGAUCUGGAGGAGUACCGGUGGCGAAGGCGGCCCCCUGGACAAAGACUGACGCUCAGGUGCGAAAGCGUGGGGAGCAAACAAG
rnacentral:rRNA from 1 species